CAAACCGGAGGAAGUGGGGAUGACGUCAAGUCAGCACGGCCCUUAUGUCUUGGGCUACACACACGCCACAAUGGAUGGUACAACGAGUCGCUAAGGAGCGAUCCCAAGCUAAUCUCCCAAAGCCAUCCUCAGUACGGAUUGCAGGCUGAAACCCGCCUGCAUGAAGCUGGAGUUGCUAGUAACCGUGGGUCAGCAUACCGCGGUGAAUAUGUUCUCGGGCCUU
rnacentral:rRNA from 1 species